CUUGGGCGAAACAAAGGCUCGAGGAAAGUUUGGAAUCCCCUUUUCAGACCCAAAGAAACAUGAUUCUCAUAUUGUCUUUAUUAUUUUUCUUUUCUGUUUUUGUUCAAAGCCACAGAGAAAUUAUUUGUACAGCGCUUUCUACAGGAGGUGUUGUUCUGAAGUGAAAUGAGUGAAAUGAGAUGGACUGGAAUGAACUUAGAAGGUCUUGAUUAGAAUUAAACCGAGUGAAACGAGAUUGUCUCCGCUGGAUUGUACUGAACUGGUGUAGGCUUAGGUGGUCUGGACCAGACUGGACUGCAGUGAAAGGGAAUGCAACAGGAUGGAUUUGACUGGAUGCGCAAAAAGCGGCCUUACAGAUCAUGGAUGGAACGUUUGGAUUUAUUUUGGAAUCUGAGGUCAAGAAAAUUGAAACCUGGCCCAAACGUUAGUGACGUGCUCACCUUGAACAGUGGGUGGGCUGAAGGCAGGUUGCGCAUUGUUGCAAGAGAGAAAACCUCAGCCAGCAGGUGUGUUUGCAGCAGAUGGACGUUCAGCUCAUGUUCAUGAAAUCCUGCACUCCUCACAAAGGUCUUCGCCAGGAGCCAAUCCCAUUCGGAGUCGCUGGGAAGAAAGAUGGGAUUCUCCACGCCGGGCUUCUGGUUCAACUGCAGGGAAUAUGUUUAACAGCUGAACUGUAAAGGGUUGAUAUCCCAGACAUUGAUUUAAACUACAGGCCUGUUUCCAGAAAAAGUUGGGAUGCUGUGCUAAAUGUAAAUAAAAACAGUUUGAGAAUUUU